CCUACGGGCGGCAGCAGUGGGGAAUAUUGGACAAUGGGCGAAAGCCUGAUCCAGCCAUGCCGCGUGUGUGAAGAAGGCCUUCGGGUUGUAAAGCACUUUCAGUGGGGAAGAAAGCCUUGGGGCUAAUACCCUCGAGGAAGGACAUCACCCACAGAAGAAGCACCGGCUAACUCCGUGCCAGCAGCCUCGGUAAUACGGAGGGUGCGAGCGUUAAUCGGAAUUACUGGGCGUAAAGCGCGCGUAGGCGGUCUGAUAAGCCGGUUGUGAAAGCCCCGGGCUCAACCUGGGAACGGCAUCCGGAACUGAGAGGCUAGAGUGCAGCAGAGGAAACGAGAAUUACGGGGGAACAGGCGAAAUGCGUAGACAGCGGCAGGAAUAACAGUGGAGAAGGAGGGCCUAUGGAACGACAAUGACUCGGAUGCUCGUAAGAGUGGGUAGCAAACAGGACUAGAGACCAGAGUAUUA
rnacentral:rRNA from 1 species